AUACGGAGGAUGCGAGCGUUAUCCGGAUUUAUUGGGUUUAAAGGGUGCGUAGGCGGUUUUUCAAGUCAGCGGUGAAACGCAAGGGCUCAACCCUUGACCUGCCGUUGAAACUGUUGGACUAGAAUGCGGAUGCUGUGGGAGGAAUGUGUGGUGUAGCGGUGAUAUGCAUAGAUAUCACACAGAACACCGAUUGCGAAGGCAACUCACAAAUCCGUGAUUGACGCUGAGGCACGAAAGUGUGGGGAUCAAACAGGAUUAGAUACCCUGGUAGUCCACACUGUAAACGAUGAUAACUCGCUGUCGGCGAUACACAGUCGGUGGCCAAGCGAAAGCGAUAAGUUAUCCACCUGGGGAGUACGACCGCAAGGUUGAAACUCAAAGGAAUUGACGGGG
rnacentral:rRNA from 1 species